CUCCACAAAACUUUUUUCACCCUUCGACGCUCCUCUUCUACCCACAAAAUCAUGACACUACUAAUUACAGUGAAACAAGCUUCUCGGUUUCAUACUUGCUCUGAUGAUACCGGCUUUGUUUUAGUUUUAAGUCUGUAGCCGAUGUCCGCUGACACUAUCGACUUCCUUUCUUGCACUGAUCGAGGCUUUUGUUUCUGGCGACAACCGUGUUUCAAAUCUGACGCCUUCGUUUCAGUUUCAGAAUUAUGUUUAAAGUUUUCAUGAAGACAACUAAAGAACAACUGACCCCGUAGUUUCAUAUGUGGCAGAAAAUUUGUUUGAAAAAAUUGAAAAGAUUUAUGAAGGAACGUAUGGUGUAGUCAAAAUUCCUUUAGAGAAAGCAGACGAGGGAGUGGCUACCACAGCUAUAAGAGAAAUCUCACUGUUGAAUGAGAUAAAUGUUGAAAAUAUUGUCAUGUAGCUUUCUAUUUUACAACUAGCUAUAGUUAAUUGAUUAUAUAGAUAAAGGACCAAUAUUUCUGUUACUUUUGGAUGGAU